AUUGAACGCUGGCGGCAGGCCUAACACAUGCAAGUCGAGCGAGCGGCGGACGGGUGAGUAAUGUAUGUGGGCUGCCCGAUAGAGGGGGAUAACUACUGGAAACGCUAGCUCAUACCGCAUACUAUCGGAUACUCCCUAGGGGAUUAGCUAGUAGGGGAGGUAAUGGCUCACCUAGGCGACGAUCCCUAGCUGGUCUGAGAGGAUGAUCAGCCACACUGGGACUGAGACACGGCCCAGACUCCUACGGAGGCAGCAGUGGGGAAUAUUGCACAAUGGGCGCAAGCCUGAUGCAGCCAUGCCGCGUGUAUGAAGAAGGCCCUAGGGUUGUAAAGUACUUUCAGUCGGGAGGCGUUACCGACAGAAGAAGCACCGGCUAACUCCGUGCCAGCAGCCGCGGUAAUUC
rnacentral:rRNA from 1 species